AGAGUUUGAUCAUGGCUCAGAUUGAACGCUGGCGGCAGGCCUAACACAUGCAAGUCGAGCGGUAGAGAGAAGCUUGCUUCUCUUGAGAGCGGCGGACGGGUGAGUAAUGCCUAGGAAUCUGCCUGGUAGUGGGGGAUAACGCUCGGAAACGGACGCUAAUACCGCAUACGUCCUACGGGAGAAAGCAGGGGACCUUCGGGCCUUGCGCUAUCAGAUGAGCCUAGGUCGGAUUAGCUAGUUGGUGAGGUAAUGGCUCACCAAGGCGACGAUCCGUAACUGGUCUGAGAGGAUGAUCAGUCACACUGGAACUGAGACACGGUCCAGACUCCUACGGGAGGCAGCAGUGGGGAAUAUUGGACAAUGGGCGAAAGCCUGAUCCAGCCAUGCCGCGUGUGUGAAGAAGGUCUUCGGAUUGUAAAGCACUUUAAGUUGGGAGGAAGGGCAGUUGCCUAAUACGUAGCUGUUUUGACGUUACCGACAGAAUAAGCACCGGCUAACUCUGUGCCAGCAGCCGCGGUAAUACAGAGGGUGCAAGCGUUAAUCGGAAUUACUGGGCGUAAAGCGCGCGUAGGUGGUUUGUUAAGUUGGAUGUGAAAUCCCCGGGCUCAACCUGGGAACUGCAUUCAAAACUGACAAGCUAGAGUAUGGUAGAGGGUGGUGGAAUUUCCUGUAGCGGUGAAAUGCGUAGAUAUAGGAAGGAACACCAGUGGCGAAGGCGACCACCUGGACUGAUACUGACACUGAGGUGCGAAAGCGUGGGGAGCAAACAGGAUUAGAUACCCUAGUAGUCC
rnacentral:rRNA from 1 species